CUGCAGGGGUUUAACAGCUGUGUGGAUGUGGCACUUGGGGACAGGGGUUAUUGGUGGUUUUGGUAUUGCUGGAUUAAUGGUUAGACUUGAUCCUUAAGGUCUUUUCCAACCUCAACAAUUCUGUGACUGUCUGAGUCUAGGAAGUCUGGGGAGAAGUGCUUAUAACAAGAAAAA